rnacentral:rRNA from 1 species
AUUGAACGCUGGCGGCAGGCCUAACACAUGCAAGUCGAACGAGUGGCGGACGGGUGAGUCAUGUCUGGGAAACUGCCCGAUGGCGGGGGAUAACUACUGGAAAUGGUAGCUAAUACCGCAUACCAUUGGAUGGGCCCAGAUGGGCUUAGCUAGUAGGUGUGGUAACGGCUCCCCGAGGCAACGAUCCCUAGCUGGUCUGAGAGGAUGACCAGCCACACAGGAGCUGAGUCACGGGCCAGACUCCUACGGGAGGCAGCAGGGGGGAAUAUUUCAAAAUGGGCGCAAGCCUGAUGCAGCCAUGCCGCGUUUAUGAAGGAGGCCUUCGGGUUGUUAAGUACUUUCAGCGAGAGGGAGUUACUCUCAGAAAUAGGCUCGGCUAACUCCGUGCCAGCAGCCGCGGUAAUUG